rnacentral:misc_RNA from 1 species
UCUCCGUUGGUGAACCAGCGGAGGGAUCAUUACCGAGUUUACAACUCCCAAACCCCUGUGAACAUACCAUUUGUUGCCUCGGCGGUGCCUGCUUCGGCAGCCCGCCAGAGGACCCAAACCCUUGAUUUUAUACAGUAUCUUCUGAGUAAAUGAUUAAAUAAAUCAAAACUUUCAACAACGAAUCUCUUGGUUCUG